rnacentral:rRNA from 1 species
UACGAAGGGGGCUAGCGUUGCUCGGAAUCACUGGGCGUAAAGGGUGCGUAGGCGGGUCUUUAAGUCAGGGGUGAAAUCCUGGAGCUCAACUCCAGAACUGCCUUUGAUACUGAGGAUCUUGAGUUCGGGAGAGGUGAGUGGAACUGCGAGUGUAGAGGUGAAAUUCGUAGAUAUUCGCAAGAACACCAGUGGCGAAGGCGGCAUCCUGGACCAAUAUUGACGCUGAGGAGCGAAAGCUAGGGGAGCAAACGGG